GCGGGUGUAGCUCAGUUGGUUAGAGCGCGUCACUGAUAAUGACGAGGUCCUAGGUUCAAAUCCUAGCAUCCGCA
rnacentral:tRNA from 2 species